GUUCCAUGGACUAUAUAGUGCAUGGGGCCGUAAAGAGUCAGACUCAACUGAGUGACUUUCACUUCUCUGCUAAUAAUACAAAGCAUUUUGGAUGUGCAGAGUACCUUUAUGGCAGUCGUACUUGAAGAAACAGAAAGUAAGGCUGCCCUGUUUGAAGGGGGCACCAGGAGAGGAAGGGCCUGCUCUCUUCGUUGCAGGCGGCUGCUGCCUGGUGAUCCAGCACCGUGCCUGAAGUCAGCAUCCUGGUUCUGACACUUACCAGCUGUGGGAUCUUGGCAAAACCUGUCUUACCCGGGUUAAAUGUGGGCAGUUUUUAAAAGUAGGGUAUUUUCUUAGAAAGGGUUUAGGAAAUCUUCAAGCACCUGAGUAUUAAUUUUAACAGAGUAUCUCUGGGAGCCUUCCACAGAAGUGUGUGGAUCCUUUAUCUGGAGCUGCUGGCCAAAGAGGAAAAAAGACAUUAAAUGGACAAGUAGAAGGUAAUUUUAACAAAACUUACAGAUGUGUCAGCAGAACUAGACUUAGAACUGAUAUGAGAGGAAGAACAAGAAAAAUUAUGAUGGAGAUGAAAAUAACCAUUCACAGGUCAAAGCACAGAUUAAUGAUGUGAGCUACCUGAAUGACUGAACUCAGUCAUCUGAAAGUACUUCCCAGGAUGGUGAUGUCUUUACUCUAAGAUUUCCAUGUUGCAAGUAGAACUGCUUGGCUUGAGGUAUAAAGGAAGAGCUCUAUAAAUUUUGCAGAUUGACCUUAAAGCAAGAAGAAGAGAAUAGAAGAAAUGCUGACAUGUUAUAUGAAAAAAUUAGGGAGCAGUUAAGAAGAAAGGAAGAACAAUAUAGUAAAGAAGCUGAAAUGAAACAGCAACUUGAACUCACUCUCAGAGCACUAGAUGGAACUGAAGACUGAGAAAUGAUCUGAAUCAGGUUAUGGAAGAAUGACAUGACACUCAGAACCAGCUUUCUGGAGAACGGAAUGCCAGAAUCUCACAGGAGGGAAUCCUGGCCAAUCACCUUGCCAAACAAAAGCAGAAAGAAAUGGCUGAUAAGGAAAUGAACUCUUAGGGGAGUUGGGCCUCCUUCCAGUUGCUGUAGGAAACUUGGCCUUCCUCUCAAGAGGUGAUGGGUAUCUCAGGUCUGCGAUUGAGUUGCAACAGGUGAGUUGGGCCUCCUCUCGAGUUGCUAGAGGGACCUAUAUGUUUCUCUUGAGUGGCUGCAGAGAUAUCGGGCCUCAUCUCAAGAUGAGGCGGAGCCAUGGUGUUUUUC